AUGGCCGGCGCCGCCGCGCUCCGGCGGGCCGCCCGCAGCGCCGCCCGCGCGCUGGCCAACGCCCCCGCCCCCUCCCGGGCGAUCGUGCUCCCCGAGCGCCUCUUGUCCUCCCAGGCCUCGCCGGAGCACCGCCCCCGCCCCGGCGUGUCGGCGUCGGAGCUGGGGCAGUACCCGCCGGAGCGGAUCCGGAACUUCUCCAUCAUCGCGCACGUCGACCACGGCAAGUCCACGCUCGCCGACCGGCUGCUGGAGCUCACCGGCACCAUCCAGAAGGGCCAUGGGGCUCAGUACCUCGACAAGCUGCAGGUAGAGAAAGAAAGGGGCAUCACCGUCAAAGCCCAAACCGCGACUAUGUUCUACAAGCAUACAGUGGAAAAUCCCGAGUCCCAUGGGACAGAUUCUUCAAGCUAUUUGCUUAACCUGAUUGAUACUCCAGGCCAUGUGGAUUUCAGCUAUGAGGUCUCCAGGUCCCUAGUAGCUUGCCAGGGUGCUCUUUUAGUAGUUGAUGCAGCCCAAGGUGUACAGGCACAAACAAUUGCAAAUUUUUACCUUGCAUUUGAGUCAAACCUUAGCAUUAUUCCUGUCAUUAACAAGAUUGAUCAGCCUACUGCUGACCCAGAUAAUGUAAAGGCCCAGUUGAAGAGGUUAUUUGACAUUGAUCCAAGUGAAGCUCUGCUCACUUCUGCCAAAACUGGUCAAGGCCUUAGCCAGGUGCUACCUGCUGUUAUCGAGCGUAUACCUUGCCCACCAGGGAAUUGUGAUUCACCUGUACGAAUGCUGCUCUUAGAUUCAUACUACGAUGAAUACAAAGGGGUGAUAUGUCAUGUUGCUAUUGUUGAUGGUGCGAUGCGCAAGGGAGAUAAGAUUUCAUCAGCUGCGACUAGUCGCACAUAUGAAGUCUUUGAUGUUGGCAUUAUGCAUCCUGAGCUUACCCCUACCGGAGUGCUUUACACCGGACAAGUUGGAUAUGUUAUAACUGGAAUGCGUUCAACUAAAGAAGCACGGAUUGGUGAUACUCUUCAUCAGGCUAAGACUAUCGUUGAACCACUUCCUGGUUUCAAGCCUGUGAGACACAUGGUCUUCUCUGGUGUAUACCCAGCUGAUGGUUCUGACUUUGAGGCUCUUAGCCAUGCAAUUGAGAAGCUAACAUGUAAUGAUGCCAGCGUGUCUGUUACAAAAGAGACAAGCACUGCACUUGGCAUGGGCUUCAGAUGUGGUUUCCUAGGAUUGCUGCACAUGGAUGUGUUUCAUCAACGGCUUGAACAAGAAUAUGGAGCUCAAGUCAUAUCCACCAUACCAACUGUACCAUAUAUCUUUGAAUAUGGCGAUGAAAGCAAAGUGCAAAUUGAGAACCCUGCGGCCUUGUCUUUCAAUGCUGGAAAACGUAUAACGGCCUGCUGGGAGCCAACAGUCAUUGCAACAAUUAUUAUUCCUAGUGAGUAUGUUGGGCCUGUAAUUAUGCUUUGUUCGGAAAGGAGGGGUGAACAGCAAGAAUAUACAUUCAUUGAUGCUAAUAGAGCUUUAUUGAAGUACCGAUUACCUUUGAGGGAGAUCAUUGUGGACUUCUACAAUGAGUUGAAAAGCAUAACAUCUGGCUAUGCUACUUUUGACUAUGAAGAUUCUGAGUAUCAAAAAUCUGAUCUUGUUAAGAUGGAUAUUCUACUUAACGGCCAGCCUGUUGAUGCUAUGGCUACUAUAAUCCAUAACCAAAAAGCUCAGAAGGUUGGAAGAGAAUUAGUGGACAAGCUGAAGAAAUUUAUAGAAAGGCAAAUGUUUGAGAUCACUAUACAAGCAGCAAUUGGUUCAAAGGUUAUUGCAAGGGAAACCCUGUCAGCAAUGAGAAAGAAUGUUCUGGCCAAGUGUUAUGGUGGUGAUAUCACCCGCAAAAAGAAGUUGCUAGAGAAGCAGAAGGAAGGGAAGAAGCGUAUGAAACGUGUCGGGUCUGUCGAUAUCCCCCAAGAAGCGUUCCAUGAGCUACUAAAGGUCUCCAGUUCAAAGUAG
rnacentral:rRNA from 1 species